GUAAAUAAUUAAGGGCGUAUGGUGGAUGCCUAGGCUCUCAGAGGCGAUGAAGGACGUGAUAAGCUGCGAAAAGCUCCGUUUAGGUGCAAAUAACCUUUGAUGCGGAGAUCUCCGAAUGGGAUAACCCAAUAUGUUGAAGACAUAUUAUACCGUAAGGUAGGCAAACGCAGGGAACUGAAACAUCUAAGUACCUGCAGGAGAAGAAAACAAAAGUGAUUCCCCCAGUAGCGGCGAGCGACCGGGGAUAAGCCCAAACCGUUAUUGUUUCGGCAGUAGCGGGGUAGUAGGACUGCGACAUUGAUGAAAUAAAUGAAAUGGAACACCUUGGAAAAUGUGAUCACAGAGGGUGAUAAUCCCGUACAUGCAAGUUUAUGAAUCAUAGCAGUAUCCUGAGUAAGUCGGGACACGUGUAAUCCUGACCGAAUCCGCCGGGACCAUCCGGCAAGGCUAAAUACUCCUGAGAGACCGAUAGUGAACCAGUACCGUGAGGGAAAGGUGAAAAGCACUUCGAACAGAAGAGUGAAAUAGUCCCUGAACCCAUACGCCUACAAGCUGUCGGAGCCGCUUCGUGCGGUGACGGCGUGCCUUUUGCAUAAUGAGCCUACGAGUUACUCAUCACCAGCGAGGUUAAGUACUUCAGGUACGUAAGCCGAAGCGAAAGCGAGUCUGAAUAGGGCGUCAAGUUGGUGGUGGUAGACGCGAAACCUUAGUGAUCUACCCAUGGGCAGGGUGAAGGUUUGGUAACACAAACUGGAGGCCCGAACCGGUAAACGUUGAAAAGUUUUCGGAUGACCUGUGGGUAGGGGUGAAAGGCCAAUCAAACUGGGAAAUAGCUCGUACUCUCCGAAAUGCAUUUAGGUGCAGCCUCUGUUGUUUUGUUCUAGAGGUAGAGCUACUGAUUGGAUGCGAGGGCUUCACCGCCUAUCAAAUCCGGCCAAACUCCGAAUGCUAGAACAUGAAGACAGGGAGUGAGCCAGCGGGUGCUAAGGUCCGUUGACGAAAGAGGGAGAACUCAGACCAUCAGCUAAGGUCCCCAAUUAUAUGCUAAGUUGGAAUUAAAACGGGGUGGGACUGCUUAGACAGCUAGGAUGUUGGCUUGGAAGCAGCCAUUCAUUUAAAGAGUGCGUAACAGCUCACUAGUCGAGCGGUCCUGCAUGGAUAAUACGCGGGCAUAAGCAUAUAACCGAAGCUAUGGGAUUGUAGAUGAUACAAUCGGUAGGAGAGCAUUCCAUUCAGCGUAGAAGCAGUAUCGUGAGGUAUUGUGGAGCGGAUGGAAAAGCAAAUGUAGGCAUAAGUAACGAUAAUGCGGGUGAGAACCCCGCACGCCGAAAGAUCAAGGAUUCCCCGGCAAUGUCAAUCAUCCGGGGGUAAGUCGGAUCCUAAGGGUAAGCCGAGUGGCGAUCCCGAUGGCAAACAGGUUAAUAUUCCUGUACUGAUCAUAACUGCGAUGCAGCGACGCAGAGGUGACACUGCUGCGUACUGACGGAAUAGUACGUUGAAACCCGUAUUCUUUGAUACCGGUAGUGAAGCACGCCGGUAGAGAUGAAAGGUGAUAGUACCGCAAUGCUUCGGUUGCGCGGAUAAUGCAGGUAAGCUGACUGCCAAGAAAACCUGCUAAGCUUCAGGUAAUGAUCAUCCGUACUGUAAACGGACACACGUGAUCAGGUAGAAAAUACUAAGGCGCUCGAGAGAUUCAUGGUUAAGGAACUAGGCAAAAUGGUCCUGUAACUUCGGGAUAAAGGACGCUCUUGUGAAAGAGCCGCAGAUAAUAGGCCCAGGCGACUGUUUACCAAAAACACAUGGCUAUGCUAAUUCGCAAGAAGAUGUAUAUGGCCUGACACCUGCCCGGUGCCGGAAGGUUAAGAGGAGAGCUCAGAGGUAACUCGAAGGUUUGAAUUGAAGCCCCGGUAAACGGCGGCCGUAACUAUAACGGUCCUAAGGUAGCGAAAUUCCUUGUCGGGUAAGUUC
rnacentral:rRNA from 1 species